rnacentral:lncRNA from 1 species
CACAGAGUCUCAGAGUUUCAGUCUCUGCCUGUGCCUCUGCCUCAGCGACGUCUGCCUGCCACCGUUUCCAGCUACAGCUUCAGCUUCAAGUUCAGUUUCAGUUCAGUUUGUUGCCGUUCAAGAAAGCUGCAACCCAAUACAACUCUAUCCAUAUAUACAUAACCAUAUAUGUAUAAUACCAUCUAUAACCCUAUAUACCAUAUAGCCAGCCAUAACUAUGGUUACAUAUAUUUUUGUUGUUUCUUUUUGUUGCGUAGUGUCUGUGCUUACAGAUGAAUAUGUAAUGCAGUUUUUCCUCUCUGAUUCUCUCUCUUUCUCUCACUCUCUGUGUGUUUUCCUCUCUCACUGUCUCUGUCUCUGUGUCGGCUUUUCCUUUGUUGCAAAUUGAAUUGAACUGCAGCGAGGCGAUCGGCUUACGUGGCCAGAGAGACAAAAUCUGUUGAGGAUUAGACCAAAUCGAGUGGAAUUGCUUUUUGCAAUCAGACGAAACGCUUAGAUAUUUUUACUUAUGUUUAUAUAUAUAUCUUUGUGUAUUAUUUGCAGAUUAUAAAGAGGAACUACAGGAAAAGGAGCCAUAAAGUAGAAGGAAGAGCUACAUGAAGCAGCGAAGGAAGAGAGCUCCACCAAAACAAAGAACUUUAACAAAGAGCAACGCGAAGGAAUUGUCGUAAAUAUAUCAAAAAAUAUAUAACAAUCAAAAAAUAUCUACUAAAAUCAAAAAUAAUUGCAGAUAAAGAACAGACACACAAGGAGAGAACUUCCAGGACAACUUCAGCUGCUCCAAAUCGAAUUUCACAACUUUACCAAAUGGAUUAAACAUGUUUUUGCCUCUACAAGAGGGUUGUUCCUCGCUCGAGGAAUACAAAAAGGAAGCAACAUCUUCUUCUAUCAAUGGAUAAAAUAGUUUAUAAAACAACAGAGAAAAAUGGUGCAUACUUAUAUAUGGACCAUUAACAGAAACCCGUAAUUCCGAACUUGUGCUGUUUUAUAUCUGUUACAAGACCGGCAUUAUGGGAGUCUGUCAAUGCAAACAACUGGUUUUUGGCAACAAAAUUGAUCACAAAUUUUUCAAAAGUAACUACUACAUCUUUUUGCAUACAAAUUGAAGGAUAAAUGAAGGAAACACAACACGCAACUUAGAGGAAUUUAUGUAAAUAUUCAGCGAGUAUAAAGAACAAGGUUAAAUGGAAACAUGAAAGCAUAAAGCAAU